CACUUGGCAGGGGGGUUGAGACUCGAUGAUCUUUGAGGUCCUUUUCAACCCAAGCCAUUCUGUGAUUCUAUGAUUCUAUGAUUCAUUCAAUACUGCUCCGCCUGAGAGAGAGUCUAAAGUGAACAAACAUGUCUCCAAAUCCAUCCCAAGUUCUUACCACUUGAGCCUUGCACAGAGGUUGUUACUUCUAAUGAAUAUUUUAGACUUCCUUCAGAGGCAGCUGCUGUGCCCCAGUCGCAUGCUGUCUCCCUGGAAGAAGCCGCAUUAGCUACUUUGGGUAUUCAAACACUUGAUAUAUGGUAUCUGUUCUAUGGAAAAGUGCCUCAGGGUGAAAUGUGUUUAAUAGAGAGAGGCUAACAUGGUAGUGAUUUAUCUCAUUUUGGUAAGUUCAUGCCUGUAAUUCAAUAACCCCAUGAGCUACACUUAACUGUAUUCAAUAAAGAUGAUCUAAAGGCGCUCUUCAUGCAGGUGAAGGAUUCAAGAACUGGAGGAAAAGAUGUUAGAAAUAAAUGGACUUGAAGUAAACAAGGAGCUCAGGCAGAACCCUUCCCCGUGAUAAAUGUCUUGAGCAUCAUUAAACCGGUACAAAUGGCUCAGCGAGAGGCAGAGAUUUCUUCCUCUGAAAGGAAAAAGCUGUGCGAGGGACUUUCAUUAAAGAGAAAAUACCACGUUAUGCUCCAGCCGUGACCCAAAUCCUGCAGCAGCACUUUGCAAGCUGUCAUCGUGCGGAGCACUCCUGGGAGAGCGUGCUGUAUCAUCACAGAAUAAGGAUGUGCUGUGAAGGCGACAGGAAGCCUGGUUGCACGCAGCCAGAUGAAAAAGAGGUGAUAGACCACGGCUUUAUUCUGGUUGUGCUUUGGAAACCUUUAGCCAAGUACCUGGGCGCACAAAGCACUUACUUGCAGACAAUGCUGCAUGCAAACCAUACAGCAGUGUGAGAAGGAAAUAUGGUACCUAAACAGCUGCUCGGGGCUGUAAUUGCUCAGUUUGAAUGUAAAUCCAAAAUAAAUAGCACUGGCAGCUGAGUCACACAAUUGCAGACCUGAAGCUCUUCAAAGUGAGCUCUAAAAAUACUUGGUGUGCUUUAGAAAUUAGUGGCUGCGUGCAGAGGAAAUGGGCACUGAAAGCACAGUAUCGCAGCAUCGACAGCAGCUGUGCAAAGGACUUUCAAACAAGCUGUGGCUGCUGCUGGUGUUCAGGGCAGUCUGGGGAGAAGAGCAGGUGGGCACAGGUCCCUGCUGCCCAAAAUGGGUGCAUUGGCACUUGUGGGUCGUGGUUCCUCCCUGCACAGACUGUGGUCACUCAGCUGUCGCUGCUCUUCCCUCACCAUCCCCAGUGAAGGGAAAGCUCAGCCCAGCAUCACUGCUACCAGUGCUGGGACCUGCUGUCUGAAACCCAGUGUUCAGUGUGGCCUUCACAAAUGGGAGGUGUUGGGAGAGAAGAGCAUUUCUGGACUUCAUACGCAGUAGGAGUGGUCGGGCAUUGGAACAGGCUGACCAUGGAGGGGGUGGAGUCACCGUCCUUGGAGGUGUUCCACAAAAUGUGGGGAUGUGGCACUGAGGGACGUGGUCUAGAGCAGUCACAGGCAUGGUUUGAUGGUUGGUCUGGAUGAUCUUAUUGUCUUUCCAACCUCAAUGAUUCUAUGAUUCUGUAAGGGAGGAGCCUUGGUCACCAUGGCUGGAGCACUGGAAGAUUUUCCAGAGCACGUGGCAGAAAGCUGACCGCUCUGUUUUUCCUGCUACUUCCAGGAGGGACCUUCCUGGGCAGUGACCUCAUCUGUAGGACUCAGUGAGGCUGUCCUCAUCCCUCGCCCCAUGUGAGACACUGGUUGCCAGCAGCACAGCACUUGAACCUCUGCAGGAUCCAGGGAAGAGACACCUGGCCCCGCCAGCCCCACUGCCUCCAGCCCAGUGGCUGCAGGAGCCCAGAGGCUCAGGAAGAAGCCCAGAUGUUUUCCAGUGAGUGGGUAAAAUGUGUGCAAUUUGAAGUGUGUUUGUGGGGGGGACGGAUGAUGAAACUCAGCAGCUAAACCCAAAGGAACAAGUGUGAGCUCUGAGCCCAGGACAACCUCCAAGUGCUUCUCUGGGUCAUUUUUUAUGACUUUCCAAAUGUUUUGGUAAGUACAUUCUUCACAGCUGAUUCAAACACAGAAUAGAAUCAAUGUUUUUUCCCAAAACAUUCCAAAAAGGUUUUUAAGCAGAGUUGUACGGGCAGGAGGGGAAUCACAAGCUUGCACAAAGGACCUGGGAGGCAGAAGGCUUCCGGUCUGUGUUGUAUUUCUUCCUCAGCCCUACAGCAAACAGCUCGUUGAGUAAUCUUUUCCCCUUUGGUUGUCAUUCUUUCUAGUUGUUGAAAUGUCUGGAGCUUCCAUUUACGUAAAGCACUCCUCUAAUGCUUUUCGCAGCUGCCUCUUCAAUCAAAAUCUACCAGAAUACUCAAUGUGUCAAGCCCUGAUCUGCCACUGCUGUGAGUGUUCUUCUUUGGACACUUUACAUGUUUUUGUUCACAGAGCAUUCCUGUUUUGCCUCUCCCCACUGCAGCCAUUCUGCACCUUCUGUUGCCCCCCAGCACUGCACGGAGGUGCCCAGGGAGGCGGCAAAUCUCUCUCCUAACACAUCUGAAUACACCAGCCACUAUAAAUAUUCAGAGCAAUAAAACCGUUAAUGCAGGAUGAUUAAAAAGUUAUGGUUCCCCCAGCAACAUGAACCCACUGCCUCACGCAUGCCAAGGCUUGGAGAUUACCGCUUUGCUGUUACACGAAUGCCUCCAUCCCUCUGCACCGUGCAGCCGGGCUGGGGUUGCCAUGGGAAUGGGAGGUCGGGUUUUGUGCUGGUGUGGAUGCAAUGAAACUCACUGGUCCUUUAAUGGCCUGUUUUAAUGCUGCAAUGGCCUGUGUUAGUGCUGCUGCUCCGCAGUGCCUGGCUGGAUGCGAACUGAAUCAGUCACAGGAUGGCUGAAGUGGAAGGGAACUCUGGAGGCCACCUGGCCCAACCCAGCUCCAGGAGGAACACCCAAGCAGGGUGCCCAGGGCCACAUCUGGGUGGCUUUGGGAGGUCCCCAAGGAGGAGACUCCAUAGCCUCAGGGCAGCCUGUGCCAGUGCUCAGCCUCCUUUGCCACACAUUUGGAGUGGUGCAGCCGAAAGCUUCUUCUUUGCUCUUUUCCCCAGUCCUGGAGCCCACAGAUGCUUGCCUCUGCCUGGUGCCUCCAUUUCAACCCCUUUGUCUUUCUCUUUCCCAGUGCCAUCACUCCCAGAGCACUCACAUUUUUGAAAAUGUCACUUUUUUUGUCUUUCUCAGGCCACAUUUCCAGAUGUGUCUUCACAGACUGCCUCCAAUUUUCUCCUUAAUCAUCCCAGGAUCAGUCCUUUUAUUUACUUCCCUCUCCUUCUCUUUUCCCCUACUGCCUUAUUAGGAGAGCAUCCCUUUCUGAUGAGGGCUCAGCAAAUCAUUUACGUCAAAAUGUACAUGAAGAAUACAAUGAAUAUUUCAGUAUUUCCAAAACUCAUAGAUGAUUCUACAAUCCCAUCUGAGAUGUGUGCUCAGGACUACCCAUGACCCUGUUCAACAAAGAGUGAAUGUUCCCUAUGCCAGUCAGUCACUAACAGAUAGAAUGCAGUACUCGGUCUGCUUUUUGCAAGGGAGCUCUGCCAGUAAUGUAACUAAAUGACAGCGAGGAAAGGAGCAAACCCCAAGUGAGAGCAAGGUAUGAAUUUUGAGAGAGUAAUUAGCUUCUAGGAGAUCUCAUCCAUGAGUUCUCUGUCACGCUGGGGCUUUUAUCAAGACAGAGUGUCUUUCCCUCUCAGCCACAAAUUGCGGGGUUGGAUGCAGGGAUCACUGGCUGUGAGUUUAUGGCUGUGCUAUACAGGAGGUCAGAUGAGAUGAUGGUAAUAGCCCCCUCUGGCCUUCCAAUUUAUGACUCUAUGAAUUUCAAACUGUUCAUUCGGUUGUAAUGUUAGUAAUUUAUCUCAAAUUAAAUGUCAUCCGGCAGGUGACCAGAACCAAGCCACCUGACUGGGGCAGCCCUUGUUGGGGUGAGGCAGCCUCUGGCACACAAACCGCUAUUUGCUGUGAGCUGCUCUCCAGCCACCACAGCCCGUUUUGGAGGAGUCCUCCCCACUAAGAAAUGACCAAGGUCCAAAUGUUCCUUCUCAGUGGGACCUCAAGUGGAACGGGAGCAUGGGGAGAAUACUGAGCUUGAGCAAAGUGCGUGGUGAUCUUCACUCUUUACAAAUAUUCCUCCUCUCCCUCCCUUUCCGUCACUGCCUCCCCUAGAGUAAGCAUCCUUCUUACUCUUCUCUUCAGCUUUUCUUUCUGUAUUUUCCAUGUUAAAUGACAAUUUCAGCAAGACAUGGCCACCUCUGCUUGCAAAGUGCCACCAAUGAGCUGUACCAUGACAAACAAUCCAAUUCCAUAACAUCUCUGUGAUUUAUUUCCAACCAUCACAUCUCUUUACAAUAUUACUCAGGGAUCAUUAUUCCAGAAUAGCAAAUAAUUUCUCAGUCUUUUCCCCCCCCAUUUUUCCAAUAAUCUGAAUGUGAUCGGAGCUGUACCUUGUUAAGCCACAUAGGUGAGAGGCCAAGAGAAGCAGUUUGAACUUCACCCACAGGGCAGGCAGCAAACAGUAGGUGGAAAGGAGCCUUUGUCCUGGGGAAACACGCAGUGAUCAGCACGGCUGUUUUCUCAAGCGGAGCCGGGAGCCUUGAGAACCCCUUGCAAAUGAGGGUCCAGGGUUUACAAAUAGCUAUCUGCCACUUUCUGCCUUGUUUUUGUGGUGAUUAAUGUGCCUGGGAGAGCAGGGAUUUGAUAUAAAAAGCUGUAUGGCUGGUGCGAGGCUUGCACACCAGCCAUCACAAACACUCCUAAUCAUAUGCAGUUUCUCCUGGAAGCACUAGAGGGAAGACAGCUGAGUGGUUCCAAAGUGAUUUGUUUCCAACCCAUCCCCUGUGUUAGUGGGAAGUCAGGAGCUACACUGCUUUUCCUAAAGAUUUAGCCCAUAAAGUCAUGUCAUUACAUAAGAAAUGCAGUUUUUUUUAUUUAUUUAUUUUAUAAGGGAAAUAUUAUAAUAUAUUUAGAAGGGCAAAAUUGUAAAUAAAAGGCCUUGCCUGUAUUGAGAUAUCCUGAUAGGAAGUGUGGCUUAAGGCGAUUUAAUCCAGGGGCAACAUUUCUCUGAUGAGGACUGGGCAUGGGGACAGAAGCAUUAACUCCCAGGCCCCCUCACAGGACAAGGGCAUUCUGUUAAAUUCUAUUAACACUUUUAAUUAACUGUCCUAUUAGCAGAGCUGCUGGUGAUGCUGUUGGAGAGGGCAGCUGGGAGCUCAUCUGCAUGAGCUGCACAGGGGAUGUGCUCCAGUGUGCACAGCUCGGAUCCUGGGCUGCAUCAAAGCACUGUGCUCCCCUCCAUUUUGUAUGCUGCUGAUGUUGACUCCACAGAGCCUUGCUUAAGGGUGUCUGCUCAAGCACUUGUGAAAUUUAUGAAAAUCAUAAACUGUGAAGAGCAAAAUAAAUUUUCUACACUGAGUGCAACCAAUCACUGGAACAACCUCCUCAGGGUCGUGGCAGGAUCUCUGGUACCGGAGGUUUUCAGGACGCAGUUGGACAGGAUGCUCGAUAAUCUCAUUGAGGAUCCUUUUUCCCACAAGACUUGGACCUGAUGAUCUUUCAAGAUCCCUUCCAACCUGGGCUGUUCUAUGAUUCUAAAAAGGGGAUAUCUCAUUUUGCCUCUGGGCAAACAGCCAUGUUCUGUUCACACCUGCAGCAUCCUUCUGCAGGAUGAAGAAACGCCCUGAGGAGGGACCACAGACACACUGAGCAGAGCUUUAGGGAAAGGAACGUUCCUGGAAUUGAGCUGAAAAGGACUGACUGGGAGCUCCGCCUCAUUGAUACCGGUCCUCAGCGGCCGUGGACAGUUGCCUGCUCUUCACUCAUAAACUGAACAACUUUGUCAUCUUCUUCUUGCCCUCUGUCUUCUCCGCUAGCAGUUGCGUCUCCUUCUCAUUUCCAGCCCAUACAUAUCCAUGCCUAUUUUGGGUUCCUUCAUGCUUGUGACAGUUCAGCUCCCGUGUUUUCCACCCAUCCCCUUGCUUGCUCCCCAGCUCAGGUGGGCUUCCACCUCUGUUACUUCUGAGCCCUGUUGGAGCAGCACAGGUUGGAGAGCAUUGAAAUGAGCAUGUUUGUGUAGUACAGGAUCACACCAUAAGAGGGAGAUGAUUCCCCAUGGAUUUUCUGGGGGACCCAAACCCCUGUCAUGACCAGUGGGCGUCAGCGUUUGAGUGGAAAAGUGGCUGAUGGAAGCUAGAGAGGUCUGUCAGAGAAAACCAGAAGGGGACACAGCUGGGAGAUGUGCACUCAUGUCAGGAGAUGAGUGCCCCGAUGUCCUUCCGGUGGGCGAAGCCUCCACUGGAAACACACUCGUGGAUUUUCCAGUCUACCUUCUGCCAUCCAUACAGAUUUAUUCUGAGAAGCCUCUUUACAUUCUUUCAGAUCACUGUAUUCCCCUUCGUGCUGCUUCAUUUAUUCUCAGGCCAGAGGAGGCCCUGGGAGAGCCCCUGUGGGCAGUUCUGCCCCAAGCUCAAAGGAACUAUAAGGGGCUGAUGCUACAGGAGAGAAACAUGGGGUGUGAGUUUCUGCCCUCAGUCCUGCUCUGCUCGCUCUCACUUAUUAAGGAUGCUGCCUGGGCAUGGGCAGACUGGGACAGAGAAAAUGGCUCUCCAGGGAGCUGGGGAUGGCAUCUGCCAAGCUGCCACUGAAUCAAAGGGACGCACUGUGGCUGCACGUCUGUGUGUCUGUCUGUACCCACUUGGCUCCUGUGGAAUGAAAACUUUGGCUGCCUGAAGCACAGGAGCUGGAGCAGGGUUUGUUCAGUAGGUCUGGGAAAAGCUGUUGCACCUGAAGAAUUCCAGCGUGUUUUAAAUAUGAUUCUUUGUAAAAAAAUUUUUUAUAGCACCACAGUAGAAAAAAUGAAUUUUAUCAUAAAACUUUAGCCACCCUCCAAGAAGGAGCAUUUCUCCCAAUAUCUGAAGUACAUAUGUGUGCUUUAUGAAUCACGUUUCUUCAUCAAAAGAAGGGGAAAAAAAGGUCAUCUGAAAAAUAUGUACCAGUGAGGGAAUCUGGCAUUAUCACCCAUGGCUUUCUUGAACAACAACCCUGUACUCCCCUGUACUGUUGAUUUCUGGAGCAGGUUUGAAUUUAGCAUCAAGGUGCAAGACAUUUUUUAAAGUCUUCAUUACAGUGCUGAAUGACUCCCCUUUUCCCCUUUAUUACACCUUUUUCUUUUUUCUCUCCAAGUCUUGCUGCAGGAGGUCAAGGAGCAGAAUUACAUCAACUCCCUUUUCUUCCUGUCCACGUCAGUCUCCUGAGCUUCAGACACUGUUUUUGCCAAGACUGUUGGAAACUGGAAAGGGCCUGAACUUGGCAAAGCUCUGAAGUUUCUGCAGAAGCCUGAAGUCAGACUGAGGCGUUCAGCAUGGUGCCCAGACACCUCCUCCCUCUGCUCCCAGAGAUGAUGUGUGUGACCUCCCAGGCCACGUCCUCCCAUGGGCUCCCCAGUUCUGCCCAUCUCAGUGCUGUGGAGAAGGGAUGGGACAAGGGGCAGAAGGGCAUUCUGCUGCUGGAGGGUACAGAGGAGACCCCUCCGCACCUCUGCGAGUUUUCAGGGCUGCCAGGCCCUGAGAGGAUGGGAGAAGGGCAAUGGAGAAUUAAGAGCUGCCAGAGAAAGUUGGUUGGGCAGGUACUAAGCAAGAAAUUUCCUGGAUGAAUGGGAUCAAGAGAGCCUUGGAGGGUAGGACUGCAAGGAAAGGAUGGAUAUCCAUCAGGCUGGGUGCCCCCACAUUCCUGUUCCACAAGAGCUUGUGUCAAUGAGGUAAGUACUGGCCCUGGGCCGUAAGAGCUGUGGCAGCAGUAGUAGAGCCCUCCAGUUCAGCACUGAGCACUUCCAGGAGAGGGAAGCAUCCCUCCUCCCAGUUCUCAGGGAACGUCACACCAAAGCAAAAAGAGGUGACCAUUGUACCAUAGCUGCUAGCAAAUUUGCUCAGGGUAACAAAGGCUAACUCAGAGUUUCUCCCAUACAGUUCACUCAACCUUGGAGCUCCUACAUGACAUGAUGGAAGUGGCAGCAGGACAGAGACACUGCAACAUCACCCCCAGAACUUCACAUUUUAUGUUACACCUUAAAGAGAACAAGGAAUGAAAACAGUAAAGGAGGCAGAUUGGGACAGCAGGACAGAUGGAAAUAACCAGCAGUGACUUUGUGGCUUCAGCUCUAUCUUUCCCUGAGGUAAGAGUGACACAAAUCUAAUCUUUCCUGCAAAAACCAUCAGCUCUGACAAUUCCUCAAGCUCUUUGGCUGUUCGCACUUUGACACCUUGGGAAAACAACAGCUGAAGAUGAUCUGCCGAGAUUCUACCACUCAGAGUUUGGUUGCCCAGUGAGUUGCAGUCAAGGAUAAUGGCAGAAAUAAUGAGAAACAGCGGGGAACAGGAAACCGAUUGAGAUUGAUCGUUUUUUGUAGUCAGCUUGUGAUGACCUUUGGGGAAAGUGGGCAUUUAAUUUUUACUGAUGUUGUAAAGGCACAGACAAAGUCCUGACCUUUCUGAUCCACGGUGACCACUAUGAGCAUCCCACUGAGAAUUAAUUACAAUUGCCUGGAGCUGCUCCAAGAAGCCUUUAUUAGAGUACUAUAAAUGUGGUAAAAGCGAUCAGUAUGUCUGGGAGAAGCUAUUCCAUGCGCCUGCUGUGAUAUCUAAAAGAAGCUCAGACUUGUCAGCUUGUUGUUUUGUUUUGCUGUUCAUUAACAAGACUGAAACUGGAAAGACAGCCUUAGAACUCCAGGGCAAGUGUUUCCCAUCAUUCUACUCUUCACACAGAUACUUUUGUAUUAGAUUAAAGCACAAUAGAUGAUAGAAAUAGGCAGUACAAAAAUCAAAUAUCCCCCCAAGAGACAAGACACAGUACAGUUCUCUACUGAACAAAGCAGAAUACAUCAGCUUCUUCUACUAGCUUCCAAGCAAUGAAAAGUGGAAGUGAACCAAGCAUGCCACACAAAACUCUGAACAAAGAAGUAUUUAAAUUCAAGGUAUGCUACAAUACUUUUGUAUUUCAAUGACCAGCAGAAAGCCAGGGCUAUUCGUCACAUGGGAAUUUGCAUUCCUUUCCCCUAGAGAUCAAUCUAAAAAUGGAAAAUCAGACACUUGUAGAAACUUGAGGAAGGAGUAAACCAUACAAGAUACAAUGAUUUUGUCAGAUACUUUGCCAAAAGGACUGGAAUUCAAUAAGAAGGUUUAAAUAAAAACUGUAAAACCAUC